CCUGGGCCCUCCUGCUCCUUGCAGCCACGCUCCUGGGCAACCCAGCCCCUGCCUCCGCAUCUGCGUGGUGAAGGCCAUUGGCCCUCAUCAGUGGAUCUGCGUUUCCUCGGGCCUACACUGUCUAGGAUUGUGCAGGGCUGGUGAGAGAACAAGAUCUCUUCCGUGUUCAAGGCAGACUUCCCGCCCCCCGCACUCUGCUCUCUCCCAGGCCUUGGGGUCUGGUCUUCUCUCGUCUGAGCCCUGAGUACUACGACCUGGCAAGAGCCCACCUGCGUGAUGAGGAGAAAUCCUGCCCGUGCCUGGCCCAGGAGGGCCCCCAGGGUGACCUGUUGACCAAAACACAGGAGCUGGGCCGUAACUACAGGACCUGUCUGAUGAUAAUCCAAAGACUGAAGGAUAUGGUGGAGGAUCAGCCCACCCAGCAUCCUGGCACUGCAGGCUCACACUUAGCCCUGGAUACUCAGAUUCAUCCUCCUCCCCUGGGAUGGCAUAGAAGAGACUUUAAAACCAAAUGAGUCAAGACUCCAAGCUCUGAC
rnacentral:sRNA from 1 species